GGCCGCGGGAAUUCGAUUCAGGCUUAACACAUGCAAGUCGAACGGGGAAAGCUAUCGGGUGAGUACUAGUGGCGCACGGGUGAGUAACGCGUGGAUAAUGUGCCCUCGAAUGGGGGAUAACUAGUCGAAAGAUUAGCUAAUUCCGCAUAAGACCACGACUACUGAGGUAGUUGAGGUCAAAGGAGCAAUUCGUUUGAGGACGAGUCCGCGUAAGAUUAGCUAGUUGGUGAGGUAAUGGCUCACCAAGGCGAUGAUCUUUAUCUGGUAUGAGAGGAUGAUCAGUCACACUGGAACUGAGACACGGUCCAGACUCCUACGGGAGGCAGCAGUAGGGAAUAUUGGUCAAAGGGGGCAACCCUGAUCCAGCGACGCCGCGUGAGCUAUAAAGGCCUUCGGGUCGUAAAGCUCUGUGUAAGGGAAAAAGUUCUGAUUGUACCUACGAGA
rnacentral:rRNA from 1 species